GAAUGUAAGGGUGAUCUAGCUGCAACAUCUGUCAUUCCAUUGACCACUAGGGUGACUCAGCUGACCUACCUGGCUAUCUUCUUCCUUCCCCACCAUUCCAUGUACUUCCAUCCCAAAGCUGUGCUCUAGGUCAAAGAUGAUAACCUUCCUCAAAUAAAGGAGAACUGUCCUUCUGUCAAGAGUCUAUGAGUAGCUGUGUUUUUCUGUUAGAACCCCAAACAAGUUACAUUACCAAGAGAACUUAAAAUGGAAUAAAAUAAAAUAAAAUUACUGC
ensembl:misc_RNA 7SK 7SK RNA